rnacentral:rRNA from 1 species
GAUGAACGCUGGCGGCGUGCCUAAUACAUGCAAGUCGAGCGAACGGACGUGAUGCUUGCUUCUCUGCUGUUAGCGACGGACGGGUGAGUAACGCGUGGAUAACCUACCUAUAAGACAGGGAUAACUUCGGGAAACCGGAGCUAAUACCGGAUGUUAUUUUGCACCACAUGGUUAAUAAGUGAAUGACGGUCUUGCUGUCACUUAUAGAUGUAUCCGCGCUGCAUUAGCUAGUUGGUAAGGUAACGGCUUACCAAGGCAACGAUGCAUAGCCGACCUGAGAGGGUGAUCGGCCACACUGGGACUGAGACACGGUCCAGACUCCUACGGGAGGCAGCAGUAGGGAAUCUUCCGCAAUGGGCGAAAGCCUGACGGAGCAACGCCGCGUGAGUGAUGAAGGUCUUCGGAUCGUAAAACUCUGUUAUUAGGGAAGAACAUAUGUGUAAGUAACUGUGCACAUCUCGACGGUAUCUAAUCAGAAAGCCACGGCUAACUACGUG